rnacentral:rRNA from 1 species
AGUGAACGCUGGCGGUAGGCCUAACACAUGCAAGUCGAACGGCAGCACAGUAAGAGCUUGCUCUUACGGGUGGCGAGUGGCGGACGGGUGAGGAAUACAUCGGAAUCUACUUUUUCGUGGGGGAUAACGUAGGGAAACUUACGCUAGUACCGCAUACGACCUACGGGUGAAAGCAGGGGAUCUUCUGACCUUGCGCGAUUGAAUGAGCCGAUGUCGGAUUAGCUAGUUGGCGGGGUAAAGGCCCACCAAGGCGACGAUCCGUAGCUGGUCUGAGAGGAUGAUCAGCCACACUGGAACUGAGACACGGUCCAGACUCCUACGGGAGGCAGCAGUGGGGAAUAUUGGACAAUGGGCGCAAGCCUGAUCCAGCCAUACCGCGUGGGUGAAGAAGGCCUUCGGGUUGUAAAGCCCUUUUGUUGGGAAAGAAAAGCAGCAGGUUAAUACCCCGCUGUUCUGACGGUACCCAAAGAAUAAGCACCGGCUAACUUCGUG